rnacentral:snRNA from 1 species
AGCUUUUACAGUGGCAGUAUCGUAGCCAAUGAGGUUUAUCUGAGGCACAAUUAUAGCUAAUUGAAAAUUGG